rnacentral:rRNA from 1 species
UACGUAGGGUGCGAGCGUUGUCCGGAAUUAUUGGGCGUAAAGAGCUCGUAGGCGGUUUGUCGCGUCGGCCGUGAAAACUUGGGGCUUAACCCCAAGCCUGCGGUCGAUACGGGCAGACUUGAGUUCGGCAGGGGAGACUGGAAUUCCUGGUGUAGCGGUGAAAUGCGCAGAUAUCAGGAGGAACACCGGUGGCGAAGGCGGUGGUCUGGGCCGUAACUGACGCUGAGGAGCGAAAGCAUGGGGGAGCGAACAGG